rnacentral:lncRNA from 1 species
CUGGGGAACUGAAUGACUGAAUAAUACAUUAAGACGAUUUGGAGUGUUUGAGCCUGGUUCCUCAGCAGAUACCUGUGUUACGGCUUCUUGGUAACAGAACCAUUCUGUUCUUAGACCUGGGAAUGAAAUCAUACUGAUUGCAACACUCUGUAGCUGCCCCAGCUAGAUCAGAACUGUUGUUGUUCUAGAAUCACCAGAGUCAAGAGAAUCCUUGACUUGAAGAUUUUAAGGGCUAGAGAGGAGCCCUGUCCUGGUGUCUCAGGGCCAGGCCAAAUCAGCCUAACUGUUAAUAUGAAAUUUGACCUCUGUAGGACCAGAAGUGUUGUAGUGUCCAUGUGGUUGGAGGGACACAAGCGUUUAUGAUGCAACAACUAAGUAGAGGAUGCAAGAAAUGGCAUUAUUGCUAGGCAACUUGGCUCAUUAACUCUUACGGCUUUGGUCAAGGCGCUACCCUGUGCAAACUAGCCCUCCCCCCUCUUCCCUGACACCCGGGAUGGUUGAUUUUGAUUGUCAACUUGAUUGGCUUGAAAGCACCUAGGAGAUCAGUAAAGCACUCUUUUGGAUGGGUCACAGGAUGCGAUCUUGAGGACUGUGUCUGGUCCCUGCCCCCUUCAACUCCUGCUCUCUUCCUGCUUCCCAACUGCCAGGAGUUGAGCAGCUUUCCUCCGCCACACCACUGAAACCUAUGAAACUGAGCCAAAUAAACCCUUUCUCCUUUAACUUGUCCUGCUCAGGUCCUCUGCGCAGGGAAAGCCGCGGCCGCCGGCCCAGCUCUCAGGGAGGCUGAGAGGAAGAACCUCACUGCAGGAAGAAGAGGCUGCUGCAGAGGUAACAGCGGGGACCACGGCCAGCGCAGGGGGAUGAGCGCGUCCGGAGAUAACGGGCGGACUGCGCCAAGCCCUCUCGGCUGGACCUCCAGCGCUCCGACUCGGGCCUCAGUUAUCGUCCAGGUCCCCCAGCACGGCUCCAAAAGUGACAGCCACGUGGAUCCCCACGCGCGCGAGGCGGGGGAUGGAAGGUUGGAGGGGUGCGGGGCUGGCAGAGCGCCCUAGAGGGUUAACCGGGGCCCGAGUCCGUGCCCGAGCGCCGGCUGCCGGGC